rnacentral:rRNA from 1 species
AUACGAAGGGGGCUAGCGUUGCUCGGAAUUACUGGGCGUAAAGGGAGCGUAGGCGGGUUGUCAAGUUGGAGGUGAAAGCCCAGGGCUCAACCUUGGAAUAGCCUUCAAAACUGACAACCUGGAGUAUGGAAGAGGUAAGUGGAACUCCGAGUGUAGAGGUGAAAUUCGUAGAUAUUCGGAAGAACACCAGUGGCGAAGGCGACUUACUGGUCCAUGACUGACGCUGAGGCUCGAAAGCGUGGGGAGC